rnacentral:misc_RNA from 1 species
GUGAAUCAUCAAAUUUUUGAACGCAAAUUGCACUCUCCUCUGAUAGUAUGCCUGUUUGAGUUUCAGCCUAUAAAAAUCGACAUCGUUGCUGGUUCGCGGUAUCGUCCUUCGGAAAUUGGGUCAUCUUAUAUCCUGGUUAUUUAGGCGAGGUAAAAUUUUCUGUUGUGUCCAUGAACGUUUCUAAGAUCUAUUCCUUUACACGUUUAAGGUAUCGAUUUUUACUAUACGUGACCAUCAUAUC